GUGGGGAAUAUUGCACAAUGGGCGAAAGCCUGAUGCAGCAACGCCGCGUGAGCGAUGAAGGCCUUUGGGUCGUAAAGCUCUGUCCUUGGGGAAGAAACAAAUGACGGUACCCUUGGAGGAAGCCCCGGCUAACUACGUGCCAGCAGCCGCGGUAAUACGUAGGGGGCAAGCGUUAUCCGGAAUUAUUGGGCGUAAAGAGUGCGUAGGUGGUCUUGUAAGCGCGGGGUGAAAGGCAAUAGCUCAACUAUUGUAAGCCCUGCGAACUGUGAGACUUGAGUGCAGGAGAGGAAAGCGGAAUUCCUAGUGUAGCGGUGAAAUGCGUAGAUAUUAGGAGGAACACCAGUGGCGAAGGCGACUUUCUGGACUGUAACUGACACUGAGGCACGAAAGCGUGGGUAGCAAACAGGAUUAGAAACCCGGGUAGUCC
rnacentral:rRNA from 1 species